CUAGCAUAUCAAUAAGCGGAGGAAAAGAAACUAACAAGGAUUCCCAUAGUAACUGCGAGUGAAGCGGGAAAAGCUCAAAUUUAAAAUCUGGCGGUCUCUGGCCGUCCGAGUUGUAAUCUAGAGAAGUAAUGCCCGUGCUGGACCGUGUAUAAGUCUCCUGGGAUGGGGCGUCAUAGAGGGUGAGAAUCCCGUCUUUGACACGGACUACCAGUGCAUUGUGGUAUGCUCUCAAAGAGUCGAGUUGUUUGGGAAUGCAGCUCAAAAUGGGUGGUAAAUUCCAUCUAAAGCUAAAUAUUGGCGAGAGACCGAUAGCGAACAAGUACCGUGAGGGAAAGAUGAAAAGAACUUUGGAAAGAGAGUUAAACAGUACGUGAAAUUGCUGAAAGGGAAACGCUUGAAGUCAGUCGCGUUGGCCGGGGAUCAGCCUUGCUUUUGCAUGGUGUACUUUCUGGUUGACGGGUCAGCAUCAAUUUUGACCGCUGGAAAAAGACCUGGGGAAUGUGGCAGCUUCGGCUGUGUUAUAGCCCCUAGUCGCAUACAGUGGUUGGGAUUGAGGAACUCAGCACGCCGCAAGGCCGGGUUUCGACCACGUUCGUGCUUAGGAUGCUGGCAUAAUGGCUUUAAGCGACCCGUCUUGAAACACGGACCAAGGAGUCUAACAUGCCUGCGAGUAUUUGGGUGGAAAACCCAAGUGCGUAAUGAAAGUGAAAGUUGAGAUCCCUGUCGUGGGGAGCAUCGACGCCCGGACCAGAACUUUUGGGACGGAUCCGCGGUGGAGCAUGUAUGUUGGGACCCGAAAGAUGGUGAACUAUGCCUGAAUAGGGUGAAGCCAGAGGAAACUCUGGUGGAGGCUCGUAGCGAUUCUGACGUGCAAAUCGAUCGUCAAAUUUGGGUAUAGGGGCGAAAGACUAAUCGAACCAUCUAGUAGCUGGUUCCUGCGAGUUUCCC
rnacentral:rRNA from 1 species